rnacentral:miRNA from 1 species
UCUGAGUCAGAUUACUGAAUA